GACGUAGGGGGCGAGCGUUGUCCGGAUUCAUUGGGCGUAAAGCGCGCGCAGGCGGCCCGGUAAGUCGGAUGUGAAAACCCGGGGCUCAACCCCGGGCCUGCAUUCGAUACUGUCGGGCUCGAGGCAGGUAGGGGAGAUCGGAAUUCCCGGUGUAGCGGUGAAAUGCGCAGAUAUCGGGAGGAACACCGGUGGCGAAGGCGGAUCUCUGGGCCUGUCCUGACGCUCAGGCGCGAAAGCUGGGGGAGCGAACAGG
rnacentral:rRNA from 1 species